CAGUAAAUAGUUUAAUUUAAAAUUCUAGUUUUGGAGGCUUGAGAUGAGUAUUAUUGCUUUUUACUGA
rnacentral:tRNA from 1 species